UUGAGUUGGAGUAAAUUGGGUGGGUAUUAAUGCUUGAAUGACAGAAGAGUGGGCAGGGCUAGGUGCUUGAGAGGCAGCAGACUGGGAGGGGCUAGGUUCUUGAGCGGCAGCAGACUGGGAGGGGGCUAAUUGCUUGAGUUGGAGUAGACUGGGUCUUCCUCAGUGUUAGGUGAAAAUCAAAACGCCGUGUCAUGUCUUGUGAAUGAUGGAUCCCAGGUGCUGAUCUCCUUAUUUUUUCAUUUGCCUUGUCUGCCUUUACAGGAUCAAAUGCUUUUGGACGUACUGCACCUCUUUAUCAUCUCUUUAAGCAAAGCAUUCACAGCAAUAUAAGAAUCUAAAAUGUCAAACUGAAACCUGACACACAUUGACAACUGUCAGCGUCUAUCAUGUCAGGCGUCCUGAUCUUCCUAAUGAGCUGCCAGGACCCUGCCAAGAAGAUCACAGAGGAGA